rnacentral:rRNA from 1 species
GAUGAACGCUGGCGGCGUGCCUAAUACAUGCAAGUCGAGCGAACAGAUGAGGAGCUUGCUCCUCUGACGUUAGCGGCGGACGGGUGAGUAACACGUGGAUAACCUACCUAUAAGACUGGGAUAACUUCGGGAAACCGGAGCUAAUACCGGAUAAUAUAUUGAACCGCAUGGUUCAAUAGUGAAAGACGGUUUUGCUGUCACUUAUAGAUGGAUCCGCGCCGCAUUAGCUAGUUGGUAAGGUAACGGCUUACCAAGGCAACGAUGCGUAGCCGACCUGAGAGGGUGAUCGGCCACACUGGAACUGAGACACGGUCCAGACUCCUACGGGAGGCCGCAGUAGGGAAUCUUCCGCAAUGGACGAAAGCCUGACGGAGCAACGCCGCGUGAGUGAUGAAGGUCUUCGGAUCGUAAAACGCUGUUAUUAGGGAAGAACAAAUGUGUAAGUAACUAUGCACGUCUUGACGGUACCUAAUCAGAAAGCCACGGCUAACUACGUG